AUUGAACGCUGGCGGCAGGCCUAACACAUGCAAGUCGAACGAGUGGCGGACGGGUGAGUAAUGUCUGGGAAACUGCCUGAUGGAGGGGGAUAACUACUGGAAACGGUAGCUAAUACCGCAUACCAUCAGAUGUGCCCAGAUGGGAUUAGCUAGUUGGUGGGGUAACGGCUCACCAAGGCGACGAUCCCUAGCUGGGCUGAGAGGAUAACCAGCCACACAGGAACGGAGAAAAGGUCCAGACUCCUCAGGUAAGCAGCAGUGGUGAAUAUUGCACAAUGGGCGCAAGCCUGAUGCAGGCAUGCCGCGUGUAUGAAGAAAGCCUUCGGGUUGUAAAGUACUUUCAGCGGGGAGGCGUUACCCGCAGAAGAUGCACCGGCUAACUCCGUGCCAGCAGCCGCGGUAGUUC
rnacentral:rRNA from 1 species